rnacentral:rRNA from 1 species
CACGUAGGGGGCAAGCGUUGUCCGGAUUUAUUGGGCGUAAAGCGCGCGUAGGCGGCUUUGUAAGUCAGAGGUGAAAGCCCGGAGCUCAACUUCGGAAUAGCCUUUGAGACUGCAUCGCUUGAAUCCGGGAGAGGUGAGUGGAAUUCCGAGUGUAGAGGUGAAAUUCGUAGAUAUUCGGAAGAACACCAGUGGCGAAGGCGGCUCACUGGACCGGUAUUGACGCUGAGGUGCGAAAGCGUGGGGAGCAAACAGG